AGUGAAGCUCUUUUUGAUGCCGUGUGUGCAAACGAUGUCAAGAAAGCAUCGGCGGCUCUCGAGAAAGGAGCAGAUGUGAACGAAGUAGGAAAAGAGUGGGAGACUACGGUAGUGUGUAUGGUCUUCCAUCAGCGUUGCAAGUAGGAUGUGCUGAUUCAUCAAUUGACUUGGUGGAUUUACUGCUACAAUAUCUAGUAAACGUCAACUCUCCAUGAGGAUGGGGUGCUAUUGAUCAUCUCGGUUCAACUGUUAAGGCUGAUUAUGAAGUUGCUAUGAAAAAGGGGAAGUUACAAUAAUGCAAGGGAACAUUGACAUGUUUGGUGAAGAAGCAGGCAAGACGACAUUGGGAGAUGCUUUUCUAGGUCAGCCAUUUAUAGAGAAGAGGGAAAGUACAGUAGGAGCAAAUGUACAAGUGAUGAGAACAGGAGGCGGUCCAAACACAAACUGGAAGGAACUGAAACCAAAAGAGAAAGAAGAGAUCAUUGAUCAAGUUCUUGUCAGAGGCUUUCUUGCAUCUGUUGAAAGCCGGCAACAAAUUGAGUCAACAGAGGAGACAAAAAUGACAAGCCAAGAACAGCAGAAACACCAUGCAGCCAGCAGGUACGUAGUACUAACACGGGAGCUUUACCAACUGUCAGACAAGCAACUAGUAAAGAGGGCAACACGACAAAGUUAGGAAGCUACUACGCGAUUUGUUGUUUCUAAAGAGUUAACCGAGGAGCAAGCAAAGUUAGCAGAGGAACUGCGUCGUGACAAGGCUGCAUUGGAAAAAAGUGAACAGAUGAUGUUGAUCACAGUGUGUGAUUGCGGUGGUCAAGAGCAGUUUCUGAUGACACACGCAGCAUUGAUGGCAGACAACAGUCAGCACAGUGCAACCACUUACAUGAUAGUGAUGGAUGGAACAAAGAGUCUUGCAGAUCCCAUACGUCAAUGUUUGUUCCGACCAGAACAAGGAAUCAAGCAGGUGGUCUUGCCACGUUUGGCCCUACGACGAGAUGUCCGUUGUUGGCUUAUUACGUGAAUGCCAUUAAGAUGGCACAUCCAGUAGUGGGCUGUGGUCCUUUUCUUGGUGAGGGCUUUAUUGAUCAAGCACCAGUUACAUUCCCCAUGUCGACAAGACAAAACAAAACAAAGGACAUGGAUCCAAAAUUCUUAGAUGAACAAGAAGAAAUAUUGCAAGACAUUGUGCAGAAGAACGAUUAAGUUUGCUGGUUGCAUGAUGUUGGCAGAGGAAAACCCGAAUAAACUGACUUUUCGUGUUGACAACACACGAUCAGGCACUGGCAGUCCACAUCUGGUGCUAUUGAAGGUGAAGGAGAUAUUUGUAGCAGUGGUGCGGUCACUGUGGAGUCAACGAGAUGCUAUUCCUUUGCCGUGGGAAGUUCUUGAUAAAUUGUUGGGCAGGGUGUCUCAACUGGAUGACAACAAAGGCAAAAUACCCGACAUUGAAGAAGUGUGCGAGUUGGCUUGAAACUUCUGUGACAUUAUGACACGAAGAGAAUGUUGAUCGGCACUGCAAUAUUUAUCAAGUUUGAGCACAAUUGCAUUUUAUUCUGAUGUGAGUGAGUUAAAAAAAGGUCUUUACUGAUCGGCAGUGGCUAUUCAAUGUUCUCAAUGUUUUUGUCACCAUUCUCGAUAAGAGCUAUGUGCCGCUAUGCUUCUGGACGUUCUGAAGAAAUUGAAAGAAGAAGGAAUGAUGUCAUGGUCAUUGGCUCACUAUCUGCUGCUGCAGAAAGGUGUCAAGGAAAGUCAGUUUGAGUCCAUUUUGUAUCUGCUGCAUCUAUUCGACGUCAUCUGUCCUAUGAUCACACCAUUGGAGAUGCUGAAGGUUGGACAGUCAUUCUUUGUUCCUUGCUUGCUGAAACAGAAAUAUGAUAUCAAGUUGGCAUGGCAACAGCUGGCCGGCUCCACUCAAUUUCCUCCCUUUUUCAUAUUUUGUCCUGAUGGUUUGACACAACUGCCGAGCCGAUCUUUUUUUGCUUGGUAUCUUGUUGUGUCACUGAAUAUGCACAUUCUUGUCCCAAACUGAAACGAGGUCAUGCUGUCUUUCAUGUGGAUGAUGAUCUUGAGCUUUAUCUGGAACUGGUUUACCAUAAACUGACAUUACAUUAUUGCUACAGUAUGUUCUCCUCGUCAAGUUUUUUCUCUUGAUGAGCUGAAACAUCAAUGUAGCAUCAUUCGUCAGUUUCUUAUUCAUCAGCUCAAUGAGGCCAAGAAACGAGGAUUGGAUGGCUUCAAGUUCACUGUAUGCGUUAUUCUUCCCUCAAGUGAAGCUGAAGAUGCCCAAUCGAUAGAUAAUGAUUCUUUGGUGUGCAUUGAUAAAUAUCCAUCUCAACGGGGUUUGAUAAACCAGAGGAAUGAUUGUGUGUCAUGAGAGCAAUUUCCCACUUUUGAUAUCUGGUUUAGUGACUCAAGAGAAAGUUUAGAUAUUGAAACUGGAAGUGAUAGACAACAACAAGAUGAACGAACAACGAUUCAGAAAGUGAAUCUGCUCAUUCAAGUGUGUUGACAUCCAGAGUGUGUCAACAGUCACAACUGUCUAAUCUUGAUGACAUGUUGAGUCUUAAGCUGUUAGUGAAAGUUGCUCGUGAAGUAUCUCACAGAUGGCAAGAAUUCGGGACCGUCUUUCAGCAUAUAUGUUUCCUGCAAAGAGAAUGACGUUAUCACUGAUAAAUACACAGAACCAUUUUUUGUGUGCUCAAGCCAUGUUAGAAGAAUGGAGAGAGGCAAUGGACAGAGAAGCUACUUGUGACUUGGUUGUUCAAACACUCUUGGAGAUGGUUUUGAGGAAGGAGGCAUGUAAUAUAUUUGGGUAUGAUGUAGUAGAACUUAUUUAUGCAAACAAAUCAUCUGUCACGUGACUUUAAUCUAGUGACUGGAAAUCAGUUUCGACCUUUGUGUAAUAGUUUUAGAUUUAUUUGUAAAUGCGCUGUAAAUAGUAUAGCAAUGUGGUGUCAAUCGAAUUGAACAAAAAUAUUUGUAAACAAUAGUUUAUCGAGAUUCUGUCAACAUGAUUCUGCAAUUGUUUAGUCCGUUUUCUGC